UACGUAGGUGGCAAGCGUUGUCCGGAUUUAUUGGGCGUAAAGAGCGUGUAGGCGGCCAGACAGGUCCGUUGUGAAACUAGAGGCUUAACCUCUAGACGUCGAUGGAAACCGUUUGGCUAGAGUCCGGAAGAGGAGAGUGGAAUUCCCGGUGUAGCGGUGAAAUGCGCAGAUAUCGGGAAGAACACCCAUGGCGAAGGCAGCUCUCUGGGACGGUACUGACGCUGAGACGCGAAAGCGUGGGGAGCGAACAGGAUUAGAUACCCCA
rnacentral:rRNA from 1 species